CCUACGGGAGGCAGCAGUGGGGAAUAUUGGGCAAUGGGCGCAAGCCUGACCCAGCAACGCCGCGUGAAGGAAGAAGGCUUUCGGGUUGUAAACUUCUUUUCUCAGGGACGAAGCAAGUGACGGUACCUGAUGAAUAAGCCACGGCUAACUACGUGCCAGCAGCCGCGGUAAUACGUAGGUGGCAAGCGUUAUCCGGAUUUACUGGGUGUAAAGGGCGUGUAGGCGGGAAAGCAAGUCAGAUGUGAAAACCAUGGGCUCAACCUGUGGCCUGCAUUUGAAACUGUUUUUCUUGAGUACUGGAGAGGCAGACGGAAUUUCUAGUGUAGCGGUGAAAUGCGUAGAUAUUAGGCGGAACACCAGUGGCGAAGGCGGUCUGCUGGACAGCAACUGACGCUGAGGCGCGAAAGCGUGGGGAGCAAACAGGAUUAGAUACCCGUGUAGUC
rnacentral:rRNA from 1 species